rnacentral:rRNA from 1 species
CCCUUAGAUGUUCUGGGCCGCACGCGCGCUACACUGAUGCAUUCAACGAGUUUCUUCCUGGUCCGAGAGGAAUGGGUAACCUUUUGAAAAUGCAUCGUGAUAGGGAUAGACUAUUGCAAUUAUUGGUCUUCAACGAGGAAUUCCUAGUAGACGUAGUUCAUCAGACUGCAUCGAUUACGUCCCUGCCCUUUGUACACACCGCCCGUCGCUCCUACCGAUUUAAUGCUCAGGUGAGCCAUUCAGACUUUCAUCAUGCUGGUUUCCAGUUUUGAUGAAGGAAAGUCUUGCGAACCUUAUCAUUUAGAGGAAGGAGAAGUCGUAACA